ensembl:lncRNA
AAACAACAGAAAUUAAACAGCAAAAAACAAAAAACGCCGCUGAGGUGUAAAAACAAGCGUUUUAAUUAUUAAAACCCUCCGCGGCGGUUUUAUCUCGGCUGUUUUUCCCGGUUUGACCCGGGUGACCCACAUCCUGCUGUCGGCCGGGAGGAGGCAGCGGCGGCUCCUCGGCAGCACGAGACUCUGUUUGUAAACAAAUCCGUGCCGCCGAGCACGAGGCGGCGCGCACGCGUACAGAGGCAGCGGCGCCUGCGCAGUGCGAGCGGCUGUGAGCGUAAGAAAAAUAGCAACGGUCGUUUUGUAUUUUUUUUCAUUUUUAUUUUUUUUUAAAUCGUGAAGCCGAAAAGAAAACAAACAAAACAACAAAACGUCGAUGGUUUUAACGUAAAUUCGCCGCGAAAAAUUGUAAUUCUGCUAAAAAAUCGGUUAAAAAUCUGUAUUUUUAAGUGAAAUUUAACCCCCCCGGAGGCUAACUGUUUUCGACGGCUACUUUCUACGGACACCGUCUCCUUCCUGUCUGUCUGCAGGUGUGGAGCUCACGGUAACAGGUGGACAUCAGACAGGAUGAAAGGUGCCAGAGACGAGCCGUGGAUGCGACCGGCGGAGCCCCACAGCAGAGAAGUCUCUCCCCUAGGAGGUAUCAUUCCAUGUCGGGCGUCCCGGGCUAGGAUUGUCUCGCUCGGAUGUUCUCUCGGUUCUCCUUCGCAGGUUAACCAUCAAAACACGCGGAUGAGAUGCAGCGGCGGAGGGAGCGGAGUGCUGCCUGGCUGAG